CCAACCUUAAGCACAACAGUCUGCAACAAAACCAAAUUGACUGUUAGAUUGACCUUAUAAAAGAAAACAAGCAAGAGGGAAAAGGAUCACAUGGUAAAGCAAAUGUCUUGUUUUCAACUACAGAAAGAAUGCAAUCGAUCUUAGACUAUACAACAUAACUUCGACAAAGAUAUUGCAUACAUAAGAAACUGACAAAUUAACUUUAAACUAAAAAUCAUCAGGUGUUACAGGUAGCCAUAUAUUACAAACUUAAAAUCUGUUUUACAGAGACAAAGCCAUCAAAACAUCAAUUACAGAUAAAAAUUCAAAAGCAAAAAACACACAGAUAGCGAAGAAUAGCAGAAACCAAAGAAAUAUAACAACGAUUUGAUGAAAUAUUUUAGGAACCAUAAUCUAAAAUGAAAUUUUGACUUAUAUGCUCAAGCAAGAACUACAAAUCUUAAUCUAAUUUUACAGGAGUCGCAUCUCUUUCCAUUUCCAGGUCAACUGCGCAAAUCUGUUUUCAAUUUAAAGCCCAAGAUCUAAUUCGCCAGAAUUUGGGGGAAAAUCUGCACUUUAUUCAACUUUUUAAAUUAAUUAAUUCCACCAAAACUAAUACAAGAUAGGCAAUCCCCUAUGAAAUCUCGAAUAAAACAAAAUUAUUAAACAUCCUACAAUCCCCAGCAUAAAAAUUCAACUAAAUCAGGAAUUCCAAUCCAAUAAUCCCAAUUCAUAUACACCACAAAAUCAAACCCAACACCGCAACCACAAAAACAACAACAAUAACCACAUACAUCGUCAAAUUAGACUCUCUAUAUUCUGAUGAAUCGAAAACAAGAAACAAGAAUCAAGACAGAGAAUUAGAUAUCAAAUGGGUACCUGAGACAUGGUUAUGGGUGUGCAAUACAAGUGAAGAAUAGAAGAAAUCUUGAUUUGUUUUCCCCCCUGAUUGAUUCUUGUGCGUGUUUGUGUUAGAGCUUGCAAGUUUGCUGGCUGAGGAAUUAUAUAGGCUUUUACAAUAAUGACUAUUCGUUGGAUCGGAUCGAGUCGGGUCGGUAGCUAUGUUUAGGCUCAC
rnacentral:misc_RNA from 1 species